CGAGGCGUUGAAAGUACGUCAGUGCAUAAAGAAACGCAUUGCAGGACAAAUUUAACUCAAAAUAUCAUCGUUUUUGUCCGGUGAAAUGUGCUAAAUUCCCCGUAGGGACCAUCCUCUACGUUUGGGGUAUUCAUGAAUCGUUUUAUAUUGUCAACAAGGCGAACAUAUCUGCAAUAAUUGUCGAGCAGUUUGGAUAAUUUGUGCUGCGAGGUAAGCCAUGUUGUCUGUGAUAUCUGUGUCGUUUGGGCUUUACGCGAAGGGCUUUAUGGUUGAUUUUGGCUUCUUUGUGGACGAUACGGUAUACUUGUUAGUGGAUUUUAUUCUGGUGUUGUGUAACUGCAUGUUAACGGUUUUUUGCUGUGUUAUUUGGUCAAGAAGUGCUCGAAUUUAUGGAGGAAACGUAAUAUAGUGUGUGUUGUGUCAUGGGCCAUCUUGCG